rnacentral:misc_RNA from 1 species
UCCCCGUUGCCGAGGCAGUCUGUUUAGAAAAAUCCAACUAAACACGAGGGUUGCGCUCGUUAAAGGACUUAACCUGACAUCUCACGACACGAGCUGACGACGACCAUGCAUCACCUGUCACUGGUCCAACUAAAUGACACUCUAAUCUCUUAGAGUUAUGACCAGGAUGUCAAGUCUGGGUAAGGUUCUUCGCGUAGCCUCGAAUUAAACCACACGCUCCACCGCUUGUGCGGGUCCCCGUCAAUUCCUUUGAGUUUUAGCCUUGCGGCCGUACUCCCCAGGCGGGAUGCUUAACGCGUUAGCUUUGCUACUUAAAGGGGUCGAUACCCUCAAACAGCUAGCAUCCAUCGUUUACGGCGUGGACUAC